CAGCAGCCACGGUAAAACGAAGGGGGCUAGCGUUGUUCGGAUUAACUGGGCGUAAAGGGUGCGUAGGCGGGUUUUUAAGUCAGGGGUGAAAUCCCGAGGCUCAACCUCGGAACGGCUUUUGAUACUGGAAAUCUUGAGUCUGGGAGAGGUGAGUGGAACUGCGAGUGUAGAGGUGAAAUUCGUAGAUAUUCGCAAGAACACCAGUGGCGAAGGCGGCUCACUGGCCCGGUACUGACGCUGAGGCACGAAAGCGUGGGGAGCAAACAGGAUUAGAUACCCGCGUAGUCCCUGUCUCUUAUAC
rnacentral:rRNA from 1 species